GAAAUAUGGUGCUCAGGUGUACCAUAUAAACUAGUGAAGGUUGUAAACAGCCAACAACAUUAAAUAUGUUGUCUAAAGCGAGUGAUUAACUCAACUCAAAUAUUCUAUUGCGAUCUGUUUUUCUCCAACAAAAAUACUCUCUUUAACUCUUAAAUUGAAGAAAAUAUAAAUUGAUGAAGAUGAAUCAUAUAUUAUGAGACGAUGACACAUAUGUUCUACUUAAUUCUAAAUUGCGAAGAAAUUAUAAAGUUAUGGAGAUGACUUAUCCGUAGUGAGAUAUUAGAGUGAGCCAAAUUAAAGUAUAUCAACAAGUGGUUUUGAUGUUCAAAAAGGAAUAUGGGCUUAGCAUUAAGAUUGAAGUUUAAGUAAAUUGUCCGUGGGGCGUCUGCGGCGCGGCGACGGCUCGCGGCGGGGAGGCGGCAGCGGCAGUGCGGCACGUGGAGGCGGCGGCGACCGCGGGCUGGCAGCGCGCACGGGGAGGGGCUGCGGCGCGGGGCAGUGAAGAUGGGUUUUUAGUUGUCAUACUUAGUUCGUUCAUAUGCUGUAUAUGAUUGGAACUGAUGCUGUUAUGUAGCAUGCUUUAUUUAAUCCUUUGCUG
rnacentral:lncRNA from 1 species